UACGUAGGGCGCAAGCGUUGUCCGGAAUUAUUGGGCGUAAAGAGCUCGUAGGUGGUUUGUCGCGUUGUCCGUGAAAACUCACAGCUCAACUGUGGGCGUGCGGGCGAUACGGGCAGACUAGAGUUCGGCAGGGGGAGACUGGAAUUCCUGGUGUAGCGGUGAAAUGCGCAGAUAUCAGGAGGAACACCGGUGGCGAAGGCGGGUCUCUGGGCCGAAACUGACGCUGAGGAGCGAAAGCGUGGGGAGCAAACAGG
rnacentral:rRNA from 1 species